rnacentral:rRNA from 1 species
CACUUUAUACUGUGAAACUGCGAAUGGCUCAUUAAAUCAGUUAUCGUUUAUUUGAUAGUACCUUACUACAUGGAUACCUGUGGUAAUUCUAGAGCUAAUACAUGCUAAAAACCCCGACUUCAGGAAGGGGUGUAUUUAUUAGAUAAAAAACCAACGCCCUUCGGGGCUCCUUGGUGAAUCAUAAUAACUUAACGAAUCGCAUGGCCUUGCGCCGGCGAUGGUUCAUUCAAAUUUCUGCCCUAUCAACUUUCGAUGGUAGGAUAGUGGCCUACCAUGGUGGCAACGGGUAACGGGGAAUUAGGGUUCGAUUCCGGAGAGGGAGCCUGAGAAACGGCUACCACAUCCAAGGAAGGCAGCAGGCGCGCAAAUUACCCAAUCCCGAUACGGGGAGGUAGUGACAAUAAAUACUGAUACGGGGCUCUUUUGGGUCUCGUAAUUGGAAUGAGAACAAUUUAAAUCCCUUAACGAGGAACAAUUGGAGGGCAAGUCUGGUGCCAGCAGCCGCGGUAAUUCCAGCUCCAAUAGCGUAUAUUAAAGUUGUUGCAGUUAAAAAGCUCGUAGUUGAACCUUGGGUCUGGCUGGCCGGUCCGCCUCACCGCGAGUACUGGUCCGGCUGGACCUUUCCUUCUGGGGAACCUCAUGGCCUUCACUGGCUGUGGGGGGAACCAGGACUUUUACUGUGAAAAAAUUAGAGUGUUCAAAGCAGGCCUUUGCUCGAAUACAUUAGCAUGGAAUAAUAGAAUAGGACGUGCGGUUCUAUUUUGUUGGUUUCUAGGACCGCCGUAAUGAUUAAUAGGGAUAGUCGGGGGCGUCAGUAUUCAGCUGUCAGAGGUGAAAUUCUUGGAUUUGCUGAAGACUAACUACUGCGAAAGCAUUCGCCAAGGAUGUUUUCAUUAAUCAGGGAAACGAAAGUUAGGGGAUCGAAGACGAUCAGAUACCGUCGUAGUCUUAACCAUAAACUAUGCCGACUAGGGAUCGGACGGGAUUCUAUGAUGACCCGUUCGGCACCUUACGAGAAAUCAAAGUUUUUGGGU